AGUAUCCUGGGGUGUGCGUCACAUCUUCGGCUAUAAACCCUCACGAUUUUGCCGGGAGUAUCUGUUGGCAGGUGAAUGGUCAAGCUCGCUGCGGGCGAGAAGACCGGAGCCGCCACAAUGCACCCACCUGCCUUUGGGCGGGUAUUAUAGCAAGGAUGAACGGCACCACGGGAUUCUU
rnacentral:other from 1 species